rnacentral:rRNA from 1 species
GCCUUAGUAACUGCGAGUGAAGCGGCAAAAGCUCAAAUUUGAAAUCUGGCGUCUUUGACGUCCGAAUUGUAAUUUGGAGAGACAUCUUCGGAGUAGACGCCGUCCUAAGUUCCUUGGAACAGGACGUCACAGAGGGUGAGAAUCCCGUGCCUGGAUGGCUGUUCUACUUCAUGUGAAGUGUCUUCGACGAGUCGAGUUGUUUGGGAAUGCAGCUCAAAAUGGGAGGUAAAUUUCUUCUAAAGCUAAAUAUUGGCGAGAGACCGAUAGCGCACAAGUAGAGUGAUCGAAAGAUGAAAAGCACUUUGAAAAGAGAGUUAAAAAGUACGUGAAAUUGUUGAAAGGGAAGCGCUUGAGACCAGACUCGAUCAGUGGUGAUCAGCGGUGCUUCUGUACCGUGCACUUGCCAUUGAUUGGGCCAGCAUCGGUUUAGACGGCGGGAUAAAGACCUAAGGAAUGUGGCUCCUCUCGGGGAGUGUUAUAGCCUUGGGUGCAAUGCCGCCAGUCUGGACCGAGGACCGCGCUUCGGCUAGGAUGCUGGCGUAAUGGUCUUCAGCGACCCGUCUUGAAACACGGACCAAGGAGUCUAACAUCUAUGCGAGUGUUCGGGUGGAAAACCCUUGCGCGUAAUGAAAGUGAACGGAGGUGAGAACACUUCGGUGUGCAUCAUCGACCGAUCCUGAUGUCUUCGGAUGGAUUUGAGUAUGAGCAUAGCUGUUGGGACCCGAAAGAUGGUGAACUAUGCCUGAAUAGGGUGAAGCCAGAGGAAACUCUGGUGGAGGCUCGCAGCGGUUCUGACGUGCAAAUCGAUCGUCAAAUUUGGGUAUAGGGGCGAAAGACUAAUCGAACCAUCUAGUAGCUGGUUCCUGCCGAAGUUU